AGACAGUACACCUCUUCAGUGCCUGGAUGCUGGGCAGAGAGCUCCCACCACUCUGACCUUGCUUCCUUUGCUGCUAGAUCUGGCCAUGUGAUUAAGUCCUGGUGAAUGAAAUACAAGCAGAAGUGAUACGUGUGUUUUUAGGGAAGCGUUUUUAAGGAAAGCAGCCAUGACCUUCUCUCUUCUCCCUUCUUACUGACUGGAAUUGGGAUAUAAUGGCUGGAGCUUGAGCAGCCAUAAGAAUUAAAAGAGAGAAGUCCUGAUGAUGGAGUUUACGAUGGUUGAUGUUUUAGAAGCACAGAUUAGAAACAAUUUAUGUCUUUGAAAGUAACAACGAAACUUAUUUUCUCACAUUUAAACGGAAUUCGUAGCUCUUUGAACAUAUUCCGAUGUUAACUCUGAAUUCAAUUGUACUGUUGACUGGUCAAUGUUAACUCUGAAUUCAAUUGUACUGUUGACCCGUCUUUGAGAAGGAGUGUUAGUUACAGUACAAAGAGCAUGGACUGCUGAACCAGACUGACCUAGAUAGGAAACUCUGUCAUGCCACUUGUCAGCUAUGGGCUGUUGUCCAAAUCAUUUAGUCUCUGUGGGUCAGUUUUCUUAUGCCUAAAACUGGAAUACUUGUUUCUGACACCGGAUUGUUGUAAACUUAAAUGAAAUAAAUAUCUAAUAUGCCUCAUAUU